rnacentral:rRNA from 1 species
UCAACUUGAGAGUUUGAUCCUGGCUCAGAACGAACGCUGGCGGCACGCCUAACACAUGCAAGUCGAGCGCACCUUCGGGUGAGCGGCGGACGGGUUAGUAACGCGUGGGAACAUACCCUUUUCUACGGAAUAGCCUCGGGAAACUGAGAGUAAUACCGUAUACGCCCUUCGGGGGAAAGAUUUAUCGGAGAAGGAUUGGCCCGCGUUAGAUUAGAUAGUUGGUGGGGUAAUGGCCUACCAAGUCUACGAUCUAUAGCUGGUUUGAGAGGAUGAUCAGCAACACUGGGACUGAGACACGGCCCAGACUCCUACGGGA